UUGAAAGGGAAACGAUUGAAGUCAGUCGUACCUGCGGGUAAUCAGCCUUUUGGGCAUGAUUCUGUGGAGCGUGAGGAGUUAAACGCCUUUAUGCCUGCAUAUUCGUGUAUUUUGGGUGUACUUGCCUGUGUGGUUAGUUAACAUCAAUUCUGGUUAUCAUAAAAUGGUUGGAGGAAUGUAGCUUCGAUUUCGAUUGAAGUGUUAUAGCCUUCGGCAGAUGUGAUGAUUGGGAUUGAGGAUUGCAACGGAUACCCUUCGGGGCUACCUGUCUGAUCUCUGAUCGUUGCUCUGGUGCCGAAAGCGUGCUUACGGUUAUCAAAGUCGAUGGUCAAUAGGUUAGAAUGGGUUAAAUUCGUUAAGGAUGUUGACGUA
rnacentral:rRNA from 3 species